AGAAUAUAAUGUAACAACAGCCAUCUGCAGUUUUGACUUUCACCAGAAUACCUCAAAUGCAGAAGUAAAUACAUCUAGAGGAGUUAGAGUUUCAAAACAUAAUGUGGAGAGAGGGAAGAAGAGGAAGAAUCCUUCUAUGACAGAGGAAUUCAUAAGGCAUUAGUGGACACAUCACAGUUUGCGGGAGACAGUAAGCUGAAUUUGGAGAGCCAGAAAUUUAAGAUUUGGCAAAGUGACUUUGGUAUUGCUGAAUCAACCGACUGCAUUUUCUGUGAAAGAGUUGCCAUCUAUCUGCUAUCAAGGACUACAGAGCUGAUACGUCUAGACUGUUUCUGUCUUACAUAGGGUAAGUCAUGAAUAGUGUUGCCAUUUUUUAUACUGCAGAAAUCAUUUAGGAUUAGAAGUGAUGAUUUAAAUUAUAUGAUUUAAAAAUAUUUAAACUUAGUCCCAGGAUUGUAUUUCAUCUGGCCUUUGGUAUCAUCUAUUCAUCUCCUGCUAAACUACAUUAAUUUCUUCCUGCAUGUUGUUUAACAUUUUUAUGUCUUGUGAGUGGGCAUAAAUACUGUCUGAUACAUGUAAAUGGGAGGAACUUUGGCUUUGCAUUAGUCCAACACCACUGAAGUCACUGUGAAAGAUACUGUGGGUCAAAGUCAUUCAUAUAUCUCUGACUCAUGAUUUGUGUCUAUCUAGAUUCUCCUUGCUAUACCACUAUAACGAAAAUAAUGCCUAUAUGUUACAGAAAAACAAAGAUUUUACAGUUUUACUUGUCCUUGCUUUGAUUAUUAAUAAUUCUUAUGUUUUGAGUGAUAAUAGCUACUAAAGACACCAGGGGAGAUCACUGGUCUCCUGUGCACAUAU
rnacentral:lncRNA from 1 species